AUUGAACGCUGGCGGCAUGCCUUACACAUGCAAGUCGAACGUUAACGGGCCUUCGGGUGCCGACGAGUGGCGUACGGGUGAGUAAUGUAUCGGAACGUACCUUUUAGUGGGGGAUAACGUAGCGAUAGUUACGCUAAUACCGCAUAUUCUGUGCGCAUGAAAGCAGGGGAUCGCAAGACCUUGCGCUGAUUGAGCGGCCGAUAGCAGAUUAGCUAGUUGGUGAGGUAAAGGCUGACCAAGGCGACGAUCUGUAUCGGGUCUGAGAGGAUGUUCCGCCACACUGGGACCGAGAUACGGUCCAGUCUUAUACGGGAGUCAGCAGUAGGGAAUGUUGGACAAUGGGGGCAACCUUGAUCCAUCCAUGCCGCGUGAGUGAUGAAGGCCUUCGGGUUGGAAAGCUCUUUCGGCCGGUAAGAAAUCGCAUGGGCUAAUACCCUGUGCGGAUGACGGUACCGGCAUAAGAAGCACCGGCUAACUACGUGCCAGCAGCCGCAGUAA
rnacentral:rRNA from 1 species